AUCAUAUACUUAUAAUAAUACCAG
rnacentral:snRNA from 1 species